rnacentral:rRNA from 1 species
UACGAAGGGGGCUAGCGUUGCUCGGAAUCACUGGGACGUAAAGGGUGCGUGUAGGCGGGUCUUUAAGUCAGGGGUGAAAUCCUGGAGCUCGAACUCCAGAACUGCCUUUGAUACUGGCGAUCUUGAGUUCGGGAGAGGUGAGUGGUAACUCCGAGUGUAGAGGUAGAAAUUCGUAGAUAUUCGGAAGAACGACCAGUCGGCGAAGGCGGACUCGACUGGCCCGAGUACCUGACGCUGAGGUGACGAAAGCGAUGGGGAGCAAACAGGGGAUUAAGAUGAUCCCUGGUAGUUCC